GGGCAACAGCCCAGAUCGUCAGCUAAGGUCCCUAAAUGUAAGUUCAGUGGUAAAGGAUGUGCGAUUGCACAAACAACCAGGAUGCUGGGGAAGAGGCUGCCGCUCAUUCAAAGAGUGCAUAAUAGCUCACUGGUAGAGUGAUCCUGCGCCGAAGAUUUCCGGGUAUAAAACUUACUACCGAAGCUACGGCAUCAGUAAUGAUGGGUAGGGGAGCUUCCCAUACGGGUUGAAGCAUGACCGUAAGGACAUGUGGACGGUAGAGGGGUGAGAAUGUUGGGAUGAGUCGAGAGAUGAGGGGGAGAAUGCCUGAGUGCGUGACACCAAGGUUUCCGGAGGAAGGGUCGACAGACCUGGGUAUGUCGGGGCCU
rnacentral:rRNA from 1 species